rnacentral:rRNA from 1 species
GAUGGACGCUAGCGGGAGGCCUAACACAUGCAAGCCGAGCGGUAGAUUACUUUCGGGUAAUUGAGAGCGGCGUACGGGUGCGGAACACGUGUGCAACCUGCCUUUAUCAGGGGGAUAGCCUUUCGAAAGGAAGAUUAAUACCCCAUAAUAUAUUAUUCGGCAUCGGGUGAUAUUGAAAACUACGGUGGAUAGAGAUGGGCACGCGCAAGAUUAGCUAGUUGGUGAGGUAACGGCUCACCAAGGCGACGAUCUUUAGGGGGCCUGAGAGGGUGAUCCCCCACACUGGUACUGAGACACGGACCAGACUCCUACGGGAGGCAGCAGUGAGGAAUAUUGGACAAUGGGUGGAAGCCUGAUCCAGCCAUCCCGCGUGCAGGAAGACGGCCCUAUGGGUUGUAAACUGCUUUUAUCUGGGGAUAAACCUACUUACGUGUAAGUAGCUGAAGGUACCAGAAGAAUAAGCACCGGCUAACUCCGUGCCAGCAGCCGCGGUAAUACGGAGGGUGCAAGCGUUAUCCGGAUUUAUUGGGUUUAAAGGGUCCGUAGGCGGACUGAUAAGUCAGUGGUGAAAUCCGACAGCUUAACUGUCGAACUGCCAUUGAUACUGUUAGUCUUGAGUAAGGUUGAAGUGGCUGGAAUAAGUAGUGUAGCGGUGAAAUGCAUAGAUAUUACUUAGAACACCAAUUGCGAAGGCAGGUCACUAAGUCUUAACUGACGCUGAUGGACGAAAGCGUGGGGAGCGAACAGG